rnacentral:rRNA from 1 species
CCUACGGGUGGCAGCAGUGGGGGAUAUUGCACAAUGGGGGGAACCCUGAUGCAGCGACGCCGCGUGGGUGAAGAAGCGCCUCGGCGCGUAAAGCCCUGUCAGCAGGGGAGAAAAUGACGGUACCUGAAGAAGAAGCCCCGGCUAACUACGUGCCAGCAGCCGCGGUAAUACGUAGGGGGCCAGCGUUAUACGGAUUUACUGGGUGUAAAGGGGGCGCAGACGGCGGUGUAAGCCAGGAGUGAACGUGUGGGGCUCAACCCCGGGACUGCUCUUGGAACUGGGUGGCUGGAGUGCAGGAGGGGCAGGCGGAAUUCGUGGUGUAGCGGUGAAAUGCGUAGAUAUCAGGAGGAACACCGAUGGCGAAGGCGGCCUGCUGGACUGCAACUGACGUUGAGGCCCGAAAGCGUGGGGAGCAAACAGGAUUAGAUACCCCAGUAGUC